rnacentral:rRNA from 1 species
AGGUGGUGCAUGGUUGUCGUCAGCUCGUGUCGUGAGAUGUUGGGUUAAGUCCCGCAACGAGCGCAACCCUUAAGCUUAGUUGCCAUCAUUAAGUUGGGCACUCUAAGUUGACUGCCGGUGACAAACCGGAGGAAGGUGGGGAUGACGUCAAAUCAUCAUGCCCCUUAUGAUUUGGGCUACACACGUGCUACAAUGGACAAUACAAAGGGCAGCGAAACCGCGAGGUCAAGCAAAUCCCAUAAAGUUGUUCUCAGUUCGGAUUGUAGUCUGCAACUCGACUACAUGAAGCUGGAAUCGCUAGUAAUCGUAGAUCAGCAUGCUACGGUGAAUACGUUCCCGGGUCUUG